rnacentral:lncRNA from 1 species
AGCGAAGAAUAAGAUUAAAAUAAUUUUAAUCUGAAUUUUGUAUGCAUAAAAAUAUAAAAUCAAAUGGAUCUAUUUCAUAUACUAAAAUUGAUGUAUGCUAAAAUUUAGAUUGUGAUCAAAUCACAUACCUAUUUUACAAUCUUUUUCUUCAAAUCUAAAUCUGAAAUAGAUGAGGCUCUCUAUUAGCCGCACAAGUAUCCGACCUCUAUGAGUAUCCACUCGA